rnacentral:rRNA from 1 species
UACGUAGGGCGCAAGCGUUGUCCGGAAUUAUUGGGCGUAAAGAGCUCGUAGGCGGUUUGUCACGUCGGCUGUGAAAACCCGAGGCUCAACCUCGGGCCUGCAGUCGAUACGGGCAGACUAGAGUGCUGUAGGGGAGACUGGAAUUCCUGGUGUAGCGGUGAAAUGCGCAGAUAUCAGGAGGAACACCAAUGGCGAAGGCAGCUCGCUGGGACGUGACUGACGCUGAGACGCGAAAGCGUGGGGAGCAAACAGG